GUAGUCUCGAGAUGCAUCGCCAAUGGAGGCGCAGAUGUAAGCCUCUUGGAAAAGAGCAUCAACGAGGGUGAGAGUCCCGUUUGUCAUCUGCAGUCCCCCAUGCACGGCGUGCCUUCUAAGAGUCGCGUUCCUCGGAAUUGGAGCGUAAAUUGGGUGGUAAAUUUCAUCUCAAGCUAAAUAUUGGUUCGAGACCGAUAGCAAACAAGUACCAUGAGGGAAAGGUGAAAAGGACUUUGAAAAGAGAGUUAAAAGUGCCUGAAAUUGCUGAAAGGGAAGCGAAUGGAACCAGUGUUGCUUGGCGAGAUUGUCAUACGCAUUCGCGUGUGGUGGUUCUUGCCUUGUGUGUCAACGCCAGUUCGCGAUCGAGGAAAACUCUUGGGACAUGGUAGCCUGUCUUCGGGCGGGUGAAUGUGCCUUGUAGAACUCAUUUGCGGACUGAUUACUUCGUGUCUGGUUGCAGCGCUUCUUGUCGCUUGGACGUGCUUGGG
rnacentral:rRNA from 1 species